rnacentral:lncRNA from 1 species
AACAUCCUGAGGAUAUAACGAGCAAUUCGGUAAAAUAAAUUUGUCGGUUUCUUAUACGGUUGCGAAGCCUUAGAGAUAACAAGAAAAACAGUGUUCGGGGAGAUAACUCUUAUAUGGGAACGUAUUCGGUUAAGCAGAGUUGGUUUCAAAAGCGUAUAAACUGUUCGAUAUCAUAUUCCAAAUAUCAAAGCGACAUCUUGCGAAACAAAAAAACAGCGAAGGAAAAAAUUAGGCGGAAGAAAAAAAAAAUAAUUAAAAACCAAUUGUUCAAAGAACAAUUGAAGGUCUUUCAACCAAUAAGGAUCUAUUUUGAUAUAAAAAUAUUAAGAUUCAAUUGAAAAUGUCAGUUCCUAUGUCUUUAUGAUAUAAAAAUAUUAAUUUUGAGCAAAGGUCAAAAUCUAUAACGUCCAAUUAACCUAUGACCUUGACCUCAAUUUCAAGGUCAUAAACUAAGGAUCCCAAAUCAAAAGACCCUAGGUCAGUAUUAUGUAUGGUUAAUGAGUAAUAUCACUUUACGCAUAAUUCUAAAUAUAAGAGGGGCGAAAACUCCAAUUUAUUGUCUACGCACCC